rnacentral:rRNA from 1 species
UUUAUAAAACUAAAUUGUAAGAGUUCUUCUAAAAAAUUGCAUUUUUCGAAUAUGACGGGCGGUGUGUACAGGGCUUAUAAACUAAUUCACCGUAACGUUCUUAUUCGCGAUUACUUGUGACUCCUGCUUUGUACAAACGAGUUACAGCUUGUAGUUCGAACUAAAAAAUAUUUACAAGAUUAACUACAAUUUGUGUAAAAAUUGAACGUUACUUUUUGUAAUUUUUAAUGUAGCACAUUAAUAGCCCAAUUUAUAAAGGUCACGUGGACUUGACUUGCUUCUUAAUUCUUUUGAUUUAUAAUCAAAACUUUUAUUAAAAACAUUUAUUUAGUAAAAUGUUAUCAAAAAAAAGAGUUACGUUCGUUAAAGGAAUUAACCAAACAUUUCACAACACGAACCUACGACAGACGUGCAACACCUGUAAAACUAGAAAAUUGUGUAAAAAAUUAACAAAAAGGUCUUGUAAUAUUCAAAAAUUGGUAAGAUUUUGCGCGGAUUAUCGCAUUAAAAAACAUGCCCCGCCACUUGUGUAAGCCCCUGUCAAUUCCUUUAAGUUUCAGUUUUUCAA